rnacentral:misc_RNA from 1 species
GAUGAAGAACGUAGCGAAAUGCGAUAAGUAAUGUGAAUUGCAGAAUUCCGUGAAUCAUCGAGUCUUUGAACGCACAUUGCGCCCCCUGGUAUUCCGGGGGGCAUGCCUGUCCGAGCGUCAUUGCUGCCCUCAAGCACGGCUUGUGUGUUGGGCCCCGUCCUCCGAUCCCGGGGGACGGGCCCGAAAGGCAGCGGCAGCACCGCGUCCGGUCCUCGAGCGUAUGGGGCUUUGUCACCCGCUCUGUAGGCCCGGCCGGCGCUUGCCGAUCAACCCAAAUUUUUUAUCCAGGUUGACCUCGGAUCAGGUAGGGAUACCCGCUGAACUUAAGCAUAUCAAUAAGCGGAGGA